rnacentral:sRNA from 1 species
UGAAUUUGCCCAAUUUCAAGAUGUGUAC